AGGACGAACGCUGGCGGCGCGCUUAACACAUGCAAGUCGAGCGGAAAGGCCCUUCGGGGUACUCGAGCGGCGAACGGGUGAGUAACACGUGGGCAACCUGCCCCUAGCUCUGGGAUAACUCCGGGAAACCGGGGGCUAAUACCGGAUACGAUCUUCCACGGCAUCUCGGAAGAUGGAAAGUUUUUCGGCUAGGGAUGGGCCCGCGGCCUAUCAGCUUGUUGGUGAGGUAACGGCCCACCGAAGGCGACGACGGGUAGCCGGCCUGAGACGGGCGACCGGGCCACGACUGGGACUGAGACACGGCCCAGACUCCUACGGGAGCAGCAGUGGGGAAUAUGCGCAA
rnacentral:rRNA from 1 species